CCUACGGGGGGCAGCAGUAAGGAAUCUUCCGCAAUGGGCGAAAGCCUGACGGAGCAACGCCGCGUGUGGGAUGACGCCUUUCGGGGUGUAAACCACUUUUCUCGGGGAAGAAGCACUGACGGUACCUGAGGAAUAAGGACCGGCUAACUACGUGCCAGCAGCCGCGGUAAUACGUAGGGUCCGAGCGUUGUCCGGAGUUACUGGGCGUAAAGCGCGCGCAGGCGGCGGUGUAAGCAUGGCGUGAAAGCCCCCGGCUCAACCGGGGAGGGUCGUCGUGGACUGCACCGCUUGAGGGCGAUAGGGGCUGGUGGAAUGCCUGGUGUAGUGGUGAAAUGCGUAGAGAUCAGGCGGAACACCCGUGGCGAAGGCGGCCAGCUGGGUCGUCCCUGACGCUGAGGCGCGAAAGCGUGGGGAGCGAACGGGAUUAGAUACCCCGGUAGUC
rnacentral:rRNA from 1 species